rnacentral:rRNA from 1 species
CCUACGGGUGGCAGCAGUGGGGAAUAUUGGACAAUGGGCGAAAGCCUGAUCCAGCCAUGCCGCGUGUGUGAAGAAGGCCUUCGGGUUGUAAAGCACUUUCAGUGGGGAAGAAAGCCUUGGGGCUAAUACCCUCGAGGAAGGACAUCACCCACAGAAGAAGCACCGGCUAACUCCGUGCCAGCAGCCGCGGUAAUACGGAGGGUGCGAGCGUUAAGCGGAAUUACUGGGCGUAAAGCGCGCGUAGGCGGUCUGAUAAGCCGGUUGUGAAAGCCCCGGGCUCAACCUGGGAACGGCAUCCGGAACUGUCAGGCUAGAGUGCAGGAGAGGAAGGUAGAAUUCCCGGUGUAGCGGUGAAAUGCGUAGAGAUCGGGAGGAAUACCAGUGGCGAAGGCGGCCUUCUGGACUGACACUGACGCUGAGGUGCGAAAGCGUGGGUAGCAAACAGGAUUAGAUACCCUAGUAGUC